AUGGUAAAUGUUUGCAAUCGGCAAGCCGGCCGAAGCGACGCGCCGGUCGCUCGUGCGUAGUAGGAUUCAUGUGGAUCCAUCGCCGCUAGUAGCGUCAUGUCAUCCUAUGCGGGGCCCAGCCCACCGACACACAACAACCUUAUCCCCUCACGCCCAUCGUUUUCCCCCAAUUCCACCUCCCAAAAUACUCUCUCCUCACGAAUGCCGGCGAGCGGCCCUCUUCCCCCUACCGGCCGGAGCCCGGAAGCAACAUGGCCGCCGGGCGUUUGCCGCAAAUCGCGAUUUGGUUCCACCUCGUGCGCCACCACUUCUUUUUGCUGCUGCUCAUGUGCUUUUCUGCUACAGCAACCCACCAGGCUGCAGAGGUUGGACGAGACCAACGGCUGCGACGAUUUCGCCGGCGACGAUGCCCUCGUGCGCGACGGCCUCCCCACCAUGGUUCAAGCUCCAAGCCGAGCAGGGCAUAGAUUUGCUAGAACCGGGCGACGGCACAGCUGCAACCAUGUUCAAGAUUUGCUGGAAGCAUCUGCACAAAAGCUGGAACCACUGAGACGAGCUGGAACCGGGUCUGAGCGGGGUACCGGACAACAGCAAAUCGAGAUUGGAGCACACCAAAUGCCCGCUCGACAUCCUUCCUGCAAGCCUCCUGAAUCUUCACAAACCAGGCGUUCUUGCCUCCUGGUGGAGGGGCUGCCUCGGCGAACCUCUGCUAUUUUUUCGGCGGGGAAUGGCUAUCUAGCGGUGAAAGGCGGCGGCCGGCGCCGGGAUAUAGCUAGUGGCGGCCGAGGGCGCGGGGGCUGGAAGGCGAGUCGGGGAAGAAAAUCUUGACUUUUCACCUGAGGGUGUGGGCCAGCCGCGCUUUUCCCUUGCGCCGGAGCCCCCGAUCGCCCCCCAGUGCGCCGGGUUCGGCCUGCGGUCGCCGGGCGGAAAAAAGGGCCGAACCGGCGCUUUUCGUCGUCCUGAGGCGCGACAGGGGCGUUUUUUUUUGCGCCGGUGCCGAAAAAGUGGCCUGGGGGGCCUGUUAGGGGCGCGGCUGGAGAUGCUCUAAGAUAGUGCUGAGCGGCGACGGCGAUGCCCAAGGUGAUUUUUGCUGUAUUUUGCGUCCAUGGUGAUUUUUGUUCUACUUGUGUUUUUUGCUUCAAUCAACAUUUGAUUUUGCUGGAAGCGGCUAAAGCAGAGCUGGAACCUCCCUUAAGCUUUCGUUUUUAUGCAACCAUCCAGCCGAUGAGCGGCCCUGGCGAGCUGCACCUGCGAAGCCGACGAGCGCCGACGGUGAGCUGGCGAGCGGCGCCACGGAGCGUCAGGCCGGGAAGGGGUGGGGGAGGGGCGACGAGCAGCACAUGUUUCAGAGAUACUAACGCGAGGAAGUAGAGAAAAAAGACGCACACGAGGGGUGAAUCGUGCGGUAUGGGGUGCGCGUAUCGGGCGACUGGGACGUGACCGGCCGAAACUUUGGGUCGGUGCGCCGGCGCUUAUCAACGUACAUUUUCUGUUUUUUUUUUCUCUCGUCCCCGCCUAGAUCACUAAUCCUUCGUGAUCGCUAAACCACCGGCGCACGUUUUCUGUUUUUUUUUUCUCCUCUAGUUUCUUCUCCAUUGGAAAAAAACAUGCGUAAAAAGCAGGAAUUGAACGUAAGACCUCCUCUUUCAAAGCUAUCUCUGAUAGCCAACUAGACUAAUGAAUCCUAUAUGCAUAUUUACCGUUUGAAAUCUAAUUUGUAUACAUAUAACUAUGUUUGAGUUAACUGAAGCAAGACUGCUCAUGCUAGAUGUACCAGGCUAAUCGUGCUAGAUUUAUCAGGUAAUUCGCACCAAAUUUACCAGGCUAAUCAUGCUAAAAUAUCAGGUUGUUAAAAUGUUAAUGUCUAAGAUACCAUGAUUUUUCAACGUAAGUUAUCUCGUUUGUCAUUCAAAAACUAUCAUUUUAUUUAUACAAAAAUUACCGACGUAUCUUUCAACAUCUGUAUAAAUAAGUUAUCAGCUCUGCUAUGCGUAUAUUACCAUAUUAUUUACACAUAGCCUACUAGAGUAUGUUUUCAAUAACUUUUUUCAUGGGUCAAAGUUAUCAUGGUGUUUGUACCUAUAUUAUCAGAACCGAGAGCCAAAUUAUCACGCUAUUUACACAAAAGAGUUAUCAGAGUAUGUUUUCAACAACUUUUUUUCACUAGUCAAAGUUAUCGUGGUGUUUGUACCUAAGUUAUCAGGUCCGGGAUCAUAUAUUACCAUGUUAUCUAUACAGAUGUUACCGGAGUAUGUUUCCAAACAACUUUUUUAUAUGAGUCAAAGUUAUCAUGGUGUUUGUACCCAAGUUAUCAUGUCCGGGAGCAUAUGCUAUCAUGUUAUUUACACGAGAAGUUAUUAGUGGUAUGUUUUCAACAAAACAUAUUCAUGGGUCAAAAUUGUCGUAGUAUUUGUACCUAAGUUAUCAGGACCGGAAGCCUAUACUAUCAUGUUAUUUACACAAAAAAUUAUCAGAGUAUGUUUUCAACAACAAAAUCAAGGGUCAAAAUUAUCGUACUGUUUGUACCUAAGUUAUCAGGUCUGGAAGCCUAUAUUACCAUGUUAUUUACACAGAUGUUACCGAAAUAUGUUUUUUUAACAACCUUUUUCCAUGGGUCAGAGUUACCGUGGUGUUUAUACAUAAAUUAUCAAGUCCGGGGUGUAUAUUAUCAUGCUAUUUACAAACACUACAACAAAAACCCCCUUUUAGCAACGUAUGUCCAGCAACGAAAUAACAGAAUGUGUUGUUUGGCUAAACAUCCCACCAUCCCCACUUAGCACUAACCACUCCGUACCCACUUCCGUCUCUUUUGACGCUAACCUCUCGCGCACGAGUCGUUCCCCUCUUCUUCCUUUAUCCUAAGCGAGACACACCAAAGGCCAACAAAAAUUCGAGACACAACAGGCAGCCAGGGUUCCCACCACGGCCGCCGUCCCCUCGCCGUCGGUUCUUUGAGGAACCUCCGCCAACCCCUCCUCCCUCGCCACUUUCCCCGCGCGUUGUGGACACACACGGCGUCACCGCCCAUCCUCCUCGCGUUCGCGAAGGCGUCGCCGCGGCCGUUCCUCUGCUCGGCUGCAGAUGCAGAUGUCGCUGUUGUUCUGACGCAUAGCUAGGGACCACGCAAGCACGACGCACCCAUCCUCAUCGACUACAGCAGGUCUUAUUCUGUCUCUCGUGCAUCUGCAAUUCUGUAUUAGUAUCACUAAAAGAUACAGUAAUAUUCACUGCUGACUCCACCCAUCCUUGUAUUUCCUUGCCGGCGGCAUCUUACAAGCUACAACAUCGAUGGAUCACAUCCUUACUCAAACUUGUCCCUGCCCACGCAGCAGCACAAGCUAAUUUCAAACCUACUAAGAUUUCCUAUUUUAGUCACAUAACUGAAGUGAACCAUUUAACAGAUACUUAAGUUUCUCAGUGAAAUAAAUGCAGGAUCUUCUGCUCAAACAUUGAACGAAGAGAAAAGAUGGUUUCUACAGAGAGAUAACAAGUUGAUGAAUGUGUCAAGAAGAUCACUGAAUUGAGAAAUAUGGAAGUGACAAUAAUUUCGUGGUUAUCAACCAAAAGGAUAUUGAUCCUCCACCCCUCUAUCUCCAAGCUAGAGCAGGGGUCCAUGGAUCCAACUGAUUUCCAUGGAAUCUCCGCUUGUAGUUUGAGGCCUGAUCUCUGCUCGGUGUGGUGGUGCAAGAUCAUAUGGAAACCAGAGUUCCUAUUGUAGGCUCAGUCUGGCAGAUCGUGGAUUCCUUCCGGGUCGAGUCAGGGGCUAAGAGUAGGUGUGAUGACGAGCAGAAGUGGAUUAGAUAGCAUGACAAGCAGAAGUGGAUUAGAUAGUUCAUAGCGCUCUUUCCCCUUUCUGUUUCUUAGUUCAUUAUGCAUGUCUUGUUUUUAUGAAUGAGUGGAUAACUCCCACUGUCCAAAAUCUGAUGAUGCUUUUUUUCGUGUCGUUGAUUCUGCAGGCUCUGAGAUUUUUUUACAUGGAUCGAGAUAUUAUAAUGUGUGCCUUUGUAAUUCCUAGAUGACCAAGAUAAAUUGACGAUGCAUGGCUCACAUGUUGAUUGCAAGGUUAAGAAUGGAGCUACUACAAGAUAGUUAGAAUGUCAUUCUUAGGAUCAAUGUUUCAAACAUUAUAGUUGAUUGCAAGGUCAAGAAUCGGGCUAUUACUAGAUAGUUUCAUCUCUUGUAAUCUUUGGACAAUGUUCUUUGUAAUGCAAAAUGCUUGAUUUAAUAUAUGAGAUCUUUCUGUUUAUUA